rnacentral:misc_RNA from 1 species
GUUCCUUGAGGAAGGGCUGUAGGACCUAAGGUGUUUAUCCCUUCACCAUGACCAACGAGGUCCUCAAAUAUAUAUUUCUUCUCACUAGCAUGAAGCAAGGAACUAAAACUCACGGUGGACAAAUCACCCUCAACCCCAUUAUUUGUUCCUCGCCUAUGCUUCUUUUCUUCCUUGCGACGAAGUUUAUCAAUUUGCUUUUCAGACUCG